UUAAACAAAUCKAUMCKUGAAACUGCGAAUGGCAUCACUAUAUCAAWUUAUAGUUUUAUUUGAUGGUUCUUGCUACUUGGAUAACCGUANUAAUUCUWGAGCUAAUACAUGCGUCAAACCCCGACWUCUGGGAGGGGUGUAUUUAUUAGAUGGAAACCAAUGCGGGGCAACCCGGUAUAUGGUGAUUCAUAAUAACUUUCGGAUCGAUCUUCVGAUCGAUGCAUCMUUCAWGUUUCUGCCCUAUCAGCUUUGGAUGGUAGGGUAUUGGCCUACCAUGGCUUUAACGGGKAACGGADAAUUANGGUUCGAUUCCGGAGAGGGAGCCUGAGAAAUGGCUACCACAUCCUAGGAAGGCAGCAGGCGCGYAAAUUACCCCAUCCUGACACAGGGAGGUAGUGACAAUAAAUAACAAUGCCGGGCUUUUAUAAGUCUGGCAAUUGGAAUGAGAACAAUUUAMAUCCCUUAUCCAGNAUCAAUUGGAGGGCAAGUCUGGU
rnacentral:rRNA from 1 species